UGACUGAAAAGGCUCAGUGGC
rnacentral:miRNA from 1 species